CUACGGGACGCACCAGUGGGGAAUAUUGCACAAUGGAGGAAACCCUGAUGCAGCAACGCCGCGUGGAGGAUGACGCAUUUCGGUGUGUAAACUCCUUUUAUAUGUCAGGAAAAUGACGGUAGCAUAUGAAUAAGCACCGGCUAACUCCGUGCCAGCAGCCGCGGUAAUACGGAGGGUGCAAGCGUUACUCGGAAUCACUGGGCGUAAAGGACGCGUAGGCGGGUUGGAAAGUCAGGUGUGAAAUCCUACAGCUUAACUGUAGAACUGCACUUGAAACUUCUAAUCUAGAGUAUGGGAGGGGGAGAUGGAAUUAGUGGUGUAGGGGUAAAAUCCGUAGAUAUCACUAGGAAUACCUAAAGCGAAGGCGAUCUCCUGGAACAUUACUGACGCUAAGGCGUGAAAGCGUGGGGAGCAAACAGGAUUAGAUACCCCAGUAGUC
rnacentral:rRNA from 1 species